rnacentral:rRNA from 1 species
UACGGAGGAUGCGAGCGUUAUCCGGAUUUAUUGGGUUUAAAGGGUGCGCAGGCGGGAGAUUAAGUCGGCGGUGAAAUUUUGCAGCUCAACUGUAAAAGUGCCUUCGAUACUGGUUUCCUUGAGUGUGGAUGAAGUAGGCGGAAUUUGUGGUGUAGCGGUGAAAUGCUUAGAUAUCACGAGGAACUCCGAUUGCGCAGGCAGCUUACUAAACCACUACUGACGCUCAGGCACGAAGGCGUGGGGAUCAAACAGGAUUAGAUACCCGGGUA